rnacentral:rRNA from 1 species
UACGGAGGGUGCAAGCGUUAUCCGGAUUUAUUGGGUUUAAAGGGUCCGUAGGCGGAUCGUUAAGUCAGUGGUGAAAGCCCACAGCUCAACUGUGGAACUGCCAUUGAUACUGGCGAUCUUGAGUGCGUGUGAAGUUAGCGGAAUGUGUGGUGUAGCGGUGAAAUGCUUAGAUAUCACACAGAACACCAAUUGCGAAGGCAGCUGGCUAACACGCAACUGACGCUGAGGGACGAAAGUGUGGGGAUCAAACAGGAUUAGAUACCCUGGUAGUCCACACCGUAAACGAUGAUUACUAGAUUUUGGCCGCAAGGUCAGAGUCCAAGCGAAAGUGUUUAGUAAUCCACCUGGGGAGUACGUCCGCAAGGAUG